CCCCUAUUUUUCUCCCAAUUUGCACCCUAUAUUGGGGGUGCCGGUUCGCCGGCUAUGGAAAUAAAUGACCGUCGCAAUAAACCAUUCGGACCCGGGGGCAGUACCCGGCGCCUCCACCCAAGCCCACCCCUUCAGGAUGGGUUUCGGCGGGGGCGAACCAGGAUCGACGAGGGCGUAAAGGGCGAGUUUUUUCCCGGUAUGGUUCCGCCGUUAUCGGGCUAUGCAAUAGUUGCAAACGACAACUAUGCUCCGGUUGCUCAGGCUGCGUAACGCAGUUUGAAAGACCAAGUCUAAAGUCCUAGUGGGUUAAGCUCCGCUAGGCGGGGUUCGGAGGCACCUGGCAACAGAAGCCUCCACU
rnacentral:tmRNA from 1 species